GAUGAACGCUGACAGAAUGCUUAACACAUGCAAGUCAACUUGAAUUUGGGUUUUUAACUUAGGUUUGGGUGGCGGACGGGUGAGUAACGCGUAAAGAACUUGCCUCACAGCUAGGGACAACAUUUGGAAACGAAUGCUAAUACCUAAUAUUAUGAUAAUAGGGCAUCCUAUAAUUAUGAAAGCUAUAAGCGCUGUGAGAGCUUUGCGUCCCAUUAGCUAGUUGGAGAGGUAACGGCUCACCAAGGCGAUGAUGGGUAGCCGGCCUGAGAGGGUGAUCGGCCACAAGGGGACUGAGACACGGCCCUUACUCCUACGGGAGGCAGCAGUGGGGAAUAUUGGACAAUGGACCGAGAGUCUGAUCCAGCAAUUCUGUGUGCACGAUGAAGUUUUUCGGAAUGUAAAGUGCUUUCAGUUGGGAAGAAACAAAUGACGGUACCAACAGAAGAAGUGACGGCUAAAUACGUG
rnacentral:rRNA from 1 species